GCAUCAUGAGGCAUGCCAACGUUGUUUUACAUGUUUUUGUGCUUGCCACGUUUUAUUCAGAAUGGACCUUGAGUGUUUUAUUUAUUCCCGAACGCACUGAAGUGACCUACGUCAACGAGAAAUACUUAUAUAAUGUGUCUGCCCGCGUCAUACGGUACGGCAGAAAAAGCGAUUACCUAUACAAUCUCGAGGGAGGACUCAAGCAUACUUGGGGAAAUAAUAUCACGAUUCAUUUCGUUUUCUUCGAAGCCCAAAACAACCAAUACAAGCGGAGUCUAUUGGAGCUAAAACUGAAGUUGUGCGACCUAUACCAACGAGAUCAAUACCUCGGAAAAAUGUUUAACGCGGUUUUAGACAAAUAUGGAAUAUCCUGUCCUUUUGCGCCGGGAAUGUACCGGUUUAUGAACACGACGCUGCCCGGAGAGAAGAUUCCCAACUUCCUGCCAUUCCAGAAGGGAAAAGUCGAGAUCACGUUUAACCAAUUGCAGACGCAAGAUUUAGUUGCAAGGCUUUUUAUCAUAUUUACCGUUAAAUCGUAGGUUUACAGA